AUGGGAAUUGAUGGGAAAUGAUGUAAAUAUAUCACUAGCCACUUUAAACAAUGCUACCUUAUAUAAUGUUACUUACCCUACAUUAUUCAUCUCAUAUGCAUACGUAGAUACUGUACUCUAUAUCAUCGACUGCAUCCUUAUGUAAUACAUGUAUCACUAGCCACUUUAACUACGCCACUUGGUUUACAUACUCAUCUCAUAUGUAUAUACUGUACUCGAUAUCAUCUACUGUAUCUUGCCUAUGCUGCUCUGUACCAUCACUCAUUCAUAUAUCCUUAUGUACAUAUUCUUUAUCCCCUUACACUGUGUAUGAGACAGUUUUUUUGGAAUUGUUAGUUAGAUUACUUGUUGGUUAUUACUGCAUUGUCGGAACUAGAAGCACAAGCAUUUCGCUACACUCGCAUUAACAUCUGCUAACCAUGUGUAUGUGACAAAUAAAAUUUGAUUUGAUUUGAUUUGAACACAACAUAUAAUUAGUGAGCAUUUCUCCUUUGCCAAGAUAAUCCAUCCACCAGACAGGUGUGGCAUAUGGAGUAUUUCUGUCUGUAAUAAAGCAAUUUUUGGGGGGAAAAACUCAUUAUGGAUUGGCUGGGCAUGGCUCCCCAGUGGCUGGGCCUGGCUCCCCAGUGGGUGGGCCUAUGCCCCCCCAAGGCCCACCCAUGGCUUCACCCCUGCCCAGUUAAAUGAAAUCCAAAGAUUAGGGCCUUCAUUUCCAUUGACAAUAUUCCUUCCAUGAACUGUAACUCAGUAAAAUAUUUGAAAUGGUUGCGUUUAUAUGAUGAUGCGUUCACAUUUUAGUUCAGUGUACAGAGACAUAGAUAUAGGUAGAGUAGAUUCACAGGUUAUGAUGAAGACAGAGGGGGUAGAGUAGACUCACAGGUUAUGAUGAAGACAUAGAUAUAGGUAGAGUAGACUCACAGGUUAUGAUGAAGACAGAGGGGGUAGAGUAGACUCACAGGUUAUGAUGAAGACAGAGGGUGAGAGUAGACUCACAGGUUAUGAUGAAGACAGAGGGGGUAGAGUAGACUCACAGGUUAUGAUGAAGACAGAGGGGGUAGAGUAGACUCACAGGUUAUGAUGAAGACAUAGAUAUAGGUAGAGUAGACUCACAGGUUAUGAUGAAGACAUAGAUAUAGGUAGAGUAGAUUCACAGGUUAUGAUGAAGACAUAGAUAUAGGUAGAGUAGAUUCACAGGUUAUGAUGAAGACAUAGAUAUAGGUAGAGUAGAUUCACAGGUUAUGAUGAAGACAUAGAUAUAGGUAGAGUAGAUUCACAGGUUAUGAUGAAGACAUAGAUAUAGGUAGAGUAGAUUCACAGGUUAUGAUGAAGACAGAGGGGGUAGAGUAGAUUCAUAGGUUAUGAUGAAGACAUAGGGGGUAGAGUAGAUUCACAGGUUAUGAUGAAGACGUGUAGAUUCACUGGUUAUGAUGAUGAAGAUGAGUAGAGCGUACAGAGACCGGUGGAAAGGUAUGGAUUGCAGUUUUGGGGUCACGAUUCGGUUUUGGUAUAGGGGGAAAAUGAACAGUUUGGCUUCGGCAGUUAACUUCUGUUAACGAAAUAAGAUACACGUUGGUACUUCUGAUUCCAUAUCCACCAUAACAGGCCUGAUGAGAGCACCAUCUUCUGAAAUGAAAACACCACGACUCAUCAACACUAGGAGAAAGUGACAUGUGCAAUCAAUAUGGAAACAUGGCUCAGACAUGGAAAAGACCUGUUUUCUUACGAAGACAAACAUAUGCGCACUUGUGUGACUCAAAGGGGGUGUGUCUAUGGCACUGUAGUUCUUUCCCAGUCCGGGGUCAUGUGAUGGGCUGUCACUUAACAGUCCGGGGUCAUGUGAUUGGCUGUCACUUAAUAGUCCGGGGUCAUGUGAUGGGCCGUCACUGUGAAGUAACUGUGUAACCCUGGAGAUCCAUCCAUCUGUAGGCAGCCCAACACAGGCUGGAUUGGCCAAUUCAUUGUCAACUUCAGCUUUAACUAGCUUAUAUAUGGGUAGCCUGUAUACUGAAAUGAGUGAGAGAGUGAAGAGCCUAAUGUGGCUAGAACACUUUCACAAAGUGCAGAAACGCUCUAACCCCGACAUCCUGACCCC
ensembl:lncRNA